AACCUCAGGUCAAAUUGUUAAAUCGUCUGUAGGAUGUCUUUGCAUUGGCAGAGUACAAGGGGAGACAGUGCUGGAAAAUUAGCCCUUAAUACGCAUAAAAGCACCAACCAAAACUGGAUUGUUGUGCACGUUAAAUACAAAUAAAAAUUAGCUGUUAACUGCAGCUAGGGAUGUUUCUAAGACGUUUUAGAUGAGUGAUGGGUGGUAUUCUCACCCUCUGUGAUAGUGUCUGUCUCAGAGUUACUGCUCUGAUUGGAAAAAAGAAGAUAAUUAUUUGAGAUUAAUGCUUGGGGAUGGAUUUCAGAAGACUGAAGGACGGCUCUGAUGACUGUGAUGAUACCUGUCCUAUUCAGAUAAUCUUUUCCCAGCUUUGAUAAUACAAGGUAGUGUGAGUUGUACAGGAAAUUACUUAGUGGUGACUGUUUGGUCUGAAACAACAUUUGUGAUCUCUUACACAAGGAAAAAAAAAUCAAUCCUGAUGUCUGUAUCAGGCACUUCUGAUCUCUGCUGAGUGCUUUUUGUUACUGUAAAUGCUGCUAUGAAAACAGCUGCGAACGGCUAAUUGCAAACUAACAAGAUUUGAGCCUCGUUACUUCUCUGUGGAACAAAUAUCCCCUUGAGGACUGCAAGUUUCAACAUGAACAGAUAUUUCAUCUGUUUCCUCUUCUGUGUAAAAACCUGUACUUUAUAAAAGGCAAUAAGGAGGCUUUGUCUUUUUUAAAAAACCCAUGGACCUAGUACCAGAGACAAGAUUUCAUCAAGAUCUGUCACCUAAUGCAGCAGCACUUUCCAUGAGAAAGGUUACCAGAUGUUUAGUGUGCAGUGAAAUCAUUCUGAGAAUCUAGCUCUGACAAAUCUUUCUUCUAUGGCCCAUGCUGUGAAGAUCAGGUCUCUACUAACGGGAUGGACUGACUGCUGCUAUUCAAAAGCUGGAAGGAACAAAGCUACUGCAGAAGAACGAGGCACCUUGAUAGCAAGCAAAGAGCAACGCUUCCUGUGCCUGAGGAUUUGUGUCUAAGCAGGACACAAAGUCCAAGAAGGAGCAGCUGAGUGGGAGGUACUCUUCAGUAUGUAUAGAGAGAUUUGCUGACAGGUUCCUCUCCUGAGACGCUCUCGCUGUGGGAGAUGGGAAAUGUCCAGCACAGCCUGAAGGAGUCAUGAGAGAUAAUAAACAUACAGACU
rnacentral:lncRNA from 1 species